rnacentral:rRNA from 1 species
GAUGAACGCUGGCGGCGUGCCUAAUACAUGCAAGUCGAGCGAACGGACGAGAAGCUUGCUUCUCUGAUGUUAGCGGCGGACGGGUGAGUAACACGUGGAUAACCUACCUAUAAGACUGGGAUAACUUCGGGAAACCGGAGCUAAUACCGGAUAAUAUGUUGAACCGCAUGGUUCAAAAGUGAAAGACGGUCUUGCUGUCACUUAUAGAUGGAUCCGCGCUGCAUUAGCUAGUUGGUAAGGUAACGGCUUACCAAGGCAACGAUGCAUAGCCGACCUGAGAGGGUGAUCGGCCACACUGGAACUGAGACACGGUCCAGACUCCUACGGGAGGCAGCAGUAGGGAAUCUUCCGCAAAGGGCGAAAGCCUGACGGAGCAACGCCGCGUGAGUGAUGAAGGUCUUCGGAUCGUAAAACUCUGUUAUUAGGGAAGAACAUAUGUGUAAGUAACUGUGCACAUCUUGACGGUACCUAAUCAGAAAGCCACGGCUAACUACGUG